rnacentral:rRNA from 1 species
GUGCCAGCCGCCGCGGUAAAACGUAGGAGGCGAGCGUUAUCCGGAUUUAUUGGGCGUAAAGCGCGUGCAGGUGGUAUCGUAAGUCGGAUGUGAAAGCCUCUGGCUCAACUGGAGGAUGUCGUUCGAUACUGCGGAACUUGAGGUCGGGAGAGGGAAGCGGAAUUCCCGGUGUAGUGGUGGAAUGCGUAGAUAUCGGGAGGAACACCAGUGGCGAAGGCGGCUUCCUGGCCCGCACCUGACACUAAGACGC